rnacentral:piRNA from 1 species
UCCUCGGUGCUGAGGGAAGCAACACAAUGA